CGCACAGCUCAGUAACACGUGGCUAACCUGCCCUUAGGACGAGAAUAACCCCGGGAAACUGGGGCUAAUGCUCGAUAGGUGAAGAACUCUGGAAUGAGACUUCACUUAAAAGAGUCUGCGUUAUGCUCGUAGAUUUCGCUUAAGGAUGGGGCCGCGACCGAUCAGGUUGUUGGUGAGGUAAUGGCUCACCAAGCCUUCUACCGGUGCGGGCCGUGAGAGCGGGAGCCCGGAGAUGGGCACUGAGACAAGGGCCCAGGCCCUACGGGGCGCAGCAGUCGCGAAAACUUUGCAAUACACGAAAGUGCGACAGGGCUAUCCCGAGUGCCAUCCGCUGAGGAAGGCUUUUACCCAGUCUAGAAAGCUGGGGGAAUAAGGAGAGGGCAAGUCUGGUGUCAGCCGCCGCGGUAAUACCAGCUCUCCGAGUGGUGUGGAUGUUUAUUGGGCCUAAAGCAUCCGUAGCUGGCUAAGUUAGUCCCCUGUUAAAUCCAACGAAUUAAUCGUUGGAUCGCGGGGGAUACUGCUUGGCUAGGGGACGAGAGAGGCAGACGGUAUUUCCGGGGUAGGGGUGAAAUCCUAUAAUCCCGGGAAGACCACCAGUGGCGAAGGCUGUCUGCUAGAACGCGCCCGACGGUGAGGGAUGAAAGCUGGGGGAGCGAACCGGAUUAGAUACCCGGGUAGUCCCAGCUGUAAACGAUGCAGCUAGGUGUUUGGACGGCCACGUGCCGUUCUAGUGCCGCAGGGAAGCUGUU
rnacentral:rRNA from 1 species